UCCCCCCUCCCCCAAAAAUCUCCAAGUGCCCAAUCCUCCCCCAAAUCCCUAAGUCCCCUUCUUUGGCUCUUAGCUCGCCAUCGCUCGCUGCUAGCCCUCUCUGGCUCUCACCUCGCCCUAGCUUUCUUGCCGUCACCUCUCGCCCUCGCUCGCUGCUCGCUCUCUCUCGCUCUCUUGCCCUCGCUCUUGCGUCUCACUUGUUGCCUCGCUGACGUGCUGAUGUAUUUUUUCGUUUUGCCGUGUUUUUUCUGUUCCGUUUUGUUGUUCUGUUCUUCUGUGUUUUGUUGUAUUUUUCUAUUCUGCUAGCAACAUCUUUUCUAUUUUUAUUGAUUUGUUGUGUUAAUUUCUUGUGGUUUUUAUCAUGCAUCAAUUUACUGCCUAAUGUCAUCCAUUAACUAAUUGUCGCUAUGCAAUUAUUUCAUUUUCUAUAAUGCUGAUACUACUUCCAGACUUUCAUGCAUCUUGCUCAUAAUAAACUAAUGUCUAAAUAAAAGAGGAAACAUAUAUUGUAUACUUUGGCUGAACCAUUAGGGGAGUUGGAGGAGCGGGUUGAUCUCUACGGACCCAGAGUAAAAGAGGAAACACCCAAUUAUUGCAAGAGCUUACCUCGUAAUUAUUCUUUUGAGGUGAAAAAACACUCAACUAUAUAUCAUAGGAUAGUUCGGUUGGUUUCUAUAAUCUUUCCUCGUAUUCUUUUGUUAAUGUGUAUUACAUCCUUUUAGUCUUUUUGAAAUUCUAUAUCAUGUUGACUAAUAUUAACUGUCGUGGCUAUGAGCUCUCUGUUUUAACAUUUAUUAACAAACUGUUUUCCUGCAAGGUUGAUGUUUCCAACAUAAUCAAUUAUUCUCUCGCAUAUUGGCCAAAGGUACCAUUUUAUAAGUUUUCUAGGGCAUGAAAAUAUAUGGAAGUUUCUUGUAUUGCAGUGAAUUUCUUUUACAAAACAUUAGUGUCUGAACUACAGGUCACUGACAAUCACACACAAAUUGUAUGUCUACAUUGUUGCUUGAUUGUAUCCUUAUCCUCAACUUUAAAUCCAUAGCUGCAUUGUUGCUUGAUUGUAUAAGCUCUCCUAAAGGAAAACAUGCCAUUUGUUCCUUAAAACAGGUCAUGUCAUGCAGAUUAGCAUCCACAAUUUUUAUAUUUGUAAUGCUGCCAAUCCUUUGCAGUAGCAUAAAUUGACAAAGAAGCAGAUAUUCAACCAUAGAUAUUCAAGGGUUCUGUUCAUUAUGCAUGGGCAAGUGUUCCCACAUACCCUAGUGGAGUGAUUGGAUUUCUGAUAUGCUCAAUGUGGAUUUUAUUCAUCCUAUCAAUCCUAUUAAAAAAGUAGAGGGAGGACUGAAGUUUAGAAGAGAGCUGAGGUUUUACAACUCUGAGGAAGCAUUUGCUGUUGUGAGAGAGGCUUCAAAGAGGGUUCUUGGCAUUUGACCAUUUGAUGUGCAAUUGAUAGUACGAUGGAUAGGAAUUGGAUGCGAUUGGAUGAUAGACCAACAUUGUUCGAGGUUAAUGAAACAACAAGACUCUAAAGGAAGCAACUGCUGUCUUGGAGUACAUGAACAGAUUUAUGACUUUAUAGUGUUUUGUUGUACAUUAGUUUUGAAUAGUGUAUAUAAUUGACAAAGUGUUAGUUUUAGUUGAACAUAUUUUUUGGUGUAAUUUGUUAGCAAUUAACACUUAUAUAUAUAUACUACUUUUGGUGUGUAAAUGCUAAUGGAUAAUGAUUACUUUGGUGUUAUUUGAAUGACAUGUUUAAUUUUAUGAGUUUUAUUUCAAUUUGAUAUGGAUAAUGAUAUAUAGGUUUGGUGGUUUAUAUCAAAACAUGAUGUUUUUGUCAUUGAUGACUAGUAACUGUUUUCAUACUAUUAAAAAAAAUAAAAAAAUAAAAAAUAUUUUUUUUAACGAUAGGAAUCAUAUUGUCGCUAAUUGUUCACAUUAUUAACGAGAGGAAAUAUUAUCGUUAUUAGUUUGUGUUUUGAUAACUAAAAAGUUAUUUUUAACGACAGGAAUCAUACGGUCGCUAAUUGUUUAGACUAUUAACGACGGAAAAUAUUGUCGUUAUUGACUUAUAAUUUAGUAGUUAAUAAUUAUUUUUAACGACGGGAAUCAUAUUGUCGCUAAUACAAUUAAUGACGGGUUUAUCAUUCCCGUCGUUAAAGACUUUUAUCCUCGGAGGCAAUAACGACGACUGACGAUGGGAAAAUUCCCGUCGUUAUAACUUUUUAACGACCGAAAAUCAACUUUCAACGACUGAUUUUUCCGUCGUUAAAACCCGUUUUUGUUGUAGUGUAUGCCGUGGUUGGUUGUUGGAGAUUAUGUUGAUGGUGAUUUUGCGAUGUGUGGCAAAAAUUGAGGGCAUUGGGUUAAUGCCGGAUGUUAAUGGGUUGAGUUUUUGUGUGUUUGCCUCUAGGUUCGACCGGGAAGGCAGUGAUCCUAGAAGAACUCGGAGUUCAGGCUGAAAUUCGUGCCGAGGCAGAGAUGAGGCUUCGAUCCAGAUAUUGCAAGUCCAGAAGUAAGCAGGGAUGGCGCCGGGAGGCUGUUGUGGCAAUUAAAUUUGUUGCCCGAGAUGUGUUGUUGUGUAUUCCCUUGUAAAAUUUUUAUACGUAUUCAUGUAAUUGAGUGUAAGCGAUAUUGAGCA